rnacentral:lncRNA from 1 species
ACACAUUUCCAGAACAAAAGAAGCCCAAUUCACUCGACAAAGCUGCUUAAGCACAAAAGACAGGGUUCCUGUUCUCGAUAGAAUCAUUCAAAUUUUUAAUAGACUAAGCCAAUACGGUCAAUAAAUGAAUUAUCCACCAUAAAAUGAAGCAAGAAGACACCGAAGCAGAUGGUUGGCAUGCCUUUUAGUUACAAGAGGUUGGCGUUCCA